rnacentral:rRNA from 1 species
GUGACAGCAGCCGCGGUAAUACGUAGGGUGCAAGCGUUGUCCGGAAUUAUUGGGCGUAAAGAGCUCGUAGGCGGUCUGUCGCGUCGGAUGUGAAAACCCAGGGCUCAACCCUGGGCCUGCAUUCGAUACGGGCAGACUAGAGUUCGGCAGGGGAGACUGGAAUUCCUGGUGUAGCGGUAAAAUGCGCAGAUAUCAGGAGGAACACCGGCGGCGAAGGCGGGUCUCUGGGCCGAUACUGACGCUGAGGAGCGAAAGCGUGGGGAGCGAACAGGAUUAGAAACCCCGGUAGUCC